UACUCUUCCUGUGUGUUGUUGGUGGCAAUACACAACUCUAAGGAGUGUUAAUUACACGUGGAUGCCGCACUUGGAAGACAACAAGACUUGCUCUCUACGUCUUUCUCUCCGUCCGUCCCUCCGUCUCUGCCCAUGCUCAUGUGUAGACCUCUCCACUGUUGUGUCUGAGGAGAAGACGCUAUCGGCAGGGUAUACUAGAUAUGUUCGGUGUAUGUGAACUUGUGAAUGUGUUGGAUAUCGCCACUGUGUCAUAAUGGACGACAGCAAAUAGAAACAUGCAUGCAGACAGUAUUUCACCAUGCCCGCAACUCAACUGUUACAACUCAACUCAACCGUAACAACUCAACUCAACUCAAUGAGGCAUUUAAGAAACAACUCAGUCGUGUAGACUGCCUAGCUAUACAGCUCUAGCAUAACUUAGCGUCGGAGGAGGAAGGAGCGCUGAGGGCGCUAUACAAAACCGUCCAACUCAACAUGAGGCUGCCAUUUUUCUCAGGCUUCCUGACCACCAGGAAGCUGGUCAUACUGCUGGCUUGGUAUGCCAUCGUCAUGGUAAUAGCGAUAUUCACAUUCUCACACACACGCUGGAAAGAGGAAUCUAAUUUAUUACGCGUCUACAACUCUCUCUUCUUCGUGCCCAGCGACGUGCCUCUUGUGAGAGACUCUUUACCUACCCGGCUCCCGGAAAACAUCUACAGGCGUAACGUUACGAACAGGUGGGAAAAUUCAAGUGUGUGGCUGCCCUUUGACCCGGAUACAGGGGAAUUCAGGUACCGGUACGCGUCAAGAACGCAUCCGCAAAGAACUAGCAGAUUAGAUGCGCUCAAGGAGAGUUUACUACGUAGAACAGGCAAUAGUAGUUCGUUGUCAACUCUGGUGCUUAUAAGGAAUAUCUCAAACGGGCGGCUUCUGUCGGAGACGCUCAACGAGGAUUUGUGGAGGGAAAAUGGGAAGAGUAGAACUCGUAAUGAAUCGCUGGCCGGCGUCUUGCAGGAGCUGGUCGGGGAUGAAGUGGGGGACCUCUUGGGCGAGGAUAAGUACAACUCGUAUAAUAGCUCAAUGCUCUUGGCUGCCAUUGAGAGGAACAUGCAGAAGAUUCGUCAGGAGACGGAGAUUAGCUUAAAACACUUGUCGCACCUUACCGGCAUUUUAAACGGGAGCAUGGCCGGCAACGGCUCCUCCAAAGAAGGUGAUCUCUCCGAAAAGUUUAAAGACAGGGUACAAGACGAUGACGAUGUCCUUCCUGGCAGUCUGAGGAUAGGUGUGAACCAAGAUCGUUAUGCGUAUGAAGGAAGGACAAAACAGGGUACAGGGAGUGCAAAGGGUGCCCUCUCUGCCAAACAGUCAGACAGGCCCAGUCUGCUAAGUGUGCUAAUAGGAAAAGACCUUCUUGAGGAUAAUAAUAAACCAAAGCCCGCUGCGAGGGCAAGCAUUAUACGAGAACUAACAAAGGAUGCUUCGGUCAAUUCGACAGCGUCUAGUAAUUCUACCAGUACUCCACUUUCAACUGAAACUCCAGAAGUUGAUGGAUAUUAUCGCAUCGAUACCAGAAGGAAAUUACGACUGCAGUGCAGUUCAUGUGCGGUGAUCUCCAGCUCCGGUCAGCUUCUUAAUAGCAGCGCUGGUGCGCAGAUUGACACAUACCCUUGUGUCCUGCGCAUGAACAGCGCCCCCACCAGUUCAUAUGAGAAGGAUGUAGGCUCUAAGACAACAGUCAGGGUCAUGGGUCACGUCAAUCUAUUAAAGGUCAACCAGAGCAACACAGAGCAGAUGGAGAUCUUCAUUAACAAGACAACGAGAACCGAGAUGCUGGUCAUUCCUUGGCUCUACACUACCCGCAUCAACAAGAGACGGGACAAGCACUACAACAUCGCUAAGAACUUCUCCAAGGUCUACCCGGACACAGAGUUCUACGUCCUAUCCUCAGGGAAGAUGAUCUCAGCGGAGAGCAUCUUCCAGCGGGAGACGGGCAUCACAAGGAAAGAUGCCAAGACGUGGCUUUCCACCGGCUGGAUGACCCUUCUCUUUGCUCUGGAUGUCUGCCAGAAGGUUGAUGUCUUUGGUCUGGUGCCUGAGAACUAUUGCAGAGUGCAUCCGAAUGAUACCACACCGUACCAUUACUACGACACCGAGUUCAAAUCCCAGUGCACCUACUACAAGGAGAGCGAGGAGCACCUCACGUUCGGUCAUCUCUUUGUGACGGAGAAGGCCAUCUUUGCUCGCUGGGCCAUGAAGUUCAACAUCAACUUCCUCUACCCGACCUGGAACCUGACCAUCUCCAACUCCUCUGGGCCGCUGGACACGCCGUUCAUCAAGCUCUUCCAUGAGGCGCAGCACAACAAGACCAAGCAGAAGACCCAUCGCCACCGCUCGUUCCUCGGCGCCCGCAUCCGACCCCGCAAGCCGCCCGUCAUCGGUCCCAAGACCAAGGAGGAGGCGGAGAAGGAGAAGUACCAGAAGCUGACCCACGCCAUCAUGUUCAUCGUCGCCAUCUUCCUCAGCUUGGUGGUGUUUCUGCUUCUGUUUUUACUGCAGCACAUGAUGCUGGAAGGGGAAGAGGAGGAUGACGCUGACGGCAGAGACCGCCAGUGGGUCAGUAAUAUGGAGAGGGCGACAUUCAGCCGCUACCGACAUAACCUCAGCUAUUGAAAAAAUAUAUGUGAACCCUUGCCAUUCCAUGUGCUAUUAAAAAAAAAACAGGUGUCCAUUCAUGCGAUAUAGAAACACUGCUCAUUCCUGUUCAUCUUUAGCCAAGUGAGGGCGCAAUAAGCGUCCUGGCUGUACCUCCGCUGAAAGUUCCUUGGAGUCUAUAAAACGCUGAAAGUUAACUUAAUAAGCACUAGCUUCAACUUGUAAGCUUCAUUCUUACUGCCACUAUUGUUUAAAGAAUACACAGCUUAAAUUCUCAAAUGUGAACAAUUGCUGUUGAUACACACUUUGCCAUAUGUAAAUGAAAUGGCCAUGAUCACAUGGAAAGAUGAUACGCUAUUCUAGGUGGCAGUAAGAACAAAGCUUACAAUCUGUGUGCGGUCUCAACUAACAGUAUGCAUAGUUGUAGUCAUUUUUUUUUACCUCAUACCUCUGAAUUUGGGCAUCAUGGUUACUUUCCAUUACCACUAUGCAACACAUCCAACUCCAUUGACAUGUAGUGUAGCGUAGGUUUGGUGUAUUUUUGUUUUUUGUUUGAAACACACUGUACUAUAAAGUUUCAUAUUCGUAACUGCAUUUGUUUUUUAAAGGUACUAUCGGAUACUCAAAAUAUCAUUGGGCAAAACUUGUCAUGUGUGUUCUGUCCAACAAGUUAAAUCUAGAUAGCAAAACAAAAAAGAUAAGUUUAAAAAAAAGUACUUCUGCAAGAUUUAUAUCUGUUUGGUUAAUCCAACUGACUAAUAAAAUAAAGCAAGGUUAGAAUGGACUUAAAAAUCAUCUUAAUCGGAUAAAUACUUUGGCUUGAAUUUCCAGUGGAUGAAACAUAUUGAAAUGCAUGUUAGAAUAAAAUGUAAUCUUAUGCAAGGAAUCAUAGGGGCUCGAGCUGUGUCUUAAUGCUUUUGUUUCUUAGCAAAAAAUAAACACAAAAAACUAACGAGAUUUAAACUAAAGACUAAAUGAUAUUUUGAAUGGCAGUUUUUAAUAUUUAUCCUCUACAGAGCCAGAAGGUCAUUUGUUUGUGCUUUGUUAUACUUUUCUUUAAGCUUUGUGGAAUAAUUCCCUUGUGGCUCUUUGCCAAUUUCUAAUCCAUGUUUCUUUACACUGCAUUCACAAAGAAAGUAUCAGAAGAACAAUGCAGAUAUUACCUUUAAUUGUGUGGUCUUCUUUAGAGCUAACAGCAUUGUUUAAUAGUGGUAAGACAUCCUCCCUUGUAGGAACACACCAUCGAGUUCUUGUGGCUUUAUAUAGGUACACAUGUAUGUGGGUUGUGGUAGAAGCUAGGUUCAUUCAUACAUAUUAAUCGCAUUAUACUCUCCCUCAUAUCAUUUCUGUUUUCAAGUUUCAUAUUUUUUUGAUAUCUUCUUUUCUUUUCACUGCAAAUUUUGUUUUUCUUUUCAUUUUUCACCCUGUUGGCAAAAUAAUCACAGCUCCUAAAUACAUUUCUGUUGUGCACUCUGGUGUUUCGAAUCACUGAACAUCAAAGUAGGCCUGCAUUUGGCACUUUUAUAAAUACUUUCCAUCUAAAAAUGAGAUACAUGUACAUAUGGGAUAAUGAAUUGGACAUUUUGUAAAGCUUGAAUAUUCCAUGUUGGGUUUACAAUGGCACUAUUGCCAUGAUAGUGAUAUGCUGUUGAUAGGUAUGCAAUAAAUUGAUCAGGAGACUAUCUUGUAUUAUGACUAAAAGAUUCUCAUAUUGACAAAUAUCAGAAUCAUAUUACUAAACAAUAAUAAUUGGCUGUAAUGGGAUAUCGUAUUAAAAUGUUGAGUAUAAUCAUGUACAUGCUCAAUAAAAAUUUAUGAGCAGUGAGUUCUUAUGCGUUUCUGUUUUUGUUAAAGAACAAUAUUCAUAGGAUUGUUCCUGUUCUUCAGUUUUACUUUAAUACACAGAAACAGGGAUAUAUAUACGAGUGAUUUGUUAGGAGAUAGAAAGGAAACAAAUUCAGUAGUGCAUAGAAUUCUAAGCAUCAUAUAAACUCUUGAGCUAGCCAACACCAAUGUCUUUUGUUAAAGAUAAAACAUUAAUAGCAUUGUCCCUGUUGUUCGUCAUAGAAACAUUGAUAUUUAUAAGAGAUUUGUUAGAAUUCAGUUGUGCAUGAGAUUGAAAUGUUAAUAUUUGAUGUACUAUACCUAGCAAUAGGGAUAAAGGCUCUUGAAAAUCAACAGAGGUUUGAGGUAAAAAAAAAAAAUGAGAGAAAGAGAAAGCAACUAAUGCAUACUACUAGAACAUCAAGAAAAGAAAAGAAAAGAAAAGAAAAGAAAAGGAGGAAAUAUUUCCAAGAUUCAGAGGAAAUACUUUUUGUGAAGAAAUUAGUGAAGAAAUUGCUGAACUUUUAUUGCUAAAGAGGAAUGAGCAGUGAGUUCUUAUGCGUUUCUGUUUUUUAAUAUCAACUGAAGCUAUGAACUUUUAAUUAAUCUAUGAAAUAUGAAUUGAAUGUAUUCCCCAUUUCAAGGCAGCCCUAGAUUUUCAUUUUUGAUAACAAUUUACUCAAACUUUCUCCUUUGCAUCUGCUGGUUAUACUCAUUCGUUUCUGUCAUAUUCCAUUUUCAUGAUCUGUCCUCGAAUGCACACUGUUCAGUGUUUGUGCCACCCUAUUGCUUUCAAAUUUCCAAUGCCGUAGAGAGAUUAUUGUUUAGGGGAUAGAGAAAAAAACAUACAUUUUAAAUUUUCUUUUGUGGCUGUUGUUGCGGACACUUCUCCAUUCUUCGCAUUUUAAAGCAAUUAGUGCCUUGACAAAAUACAGACCUUUAAUCGUCCCUCUCCCAUAUCUCACUUUCACUUUCAUCGUAAUUGAUAAUUCCCAGUGGUUCUGCGCCGUCCCCCUGAUUGUAGAAGAAAGAUAAGUCUUUACAUGCAUGCAUGAGAAAUGGCUAUGUGCAUCAUCUAUCACUGUCUUCUCCGAACGACAUUCAAAUUUCUUGUGUUUGCUUGAGUGCAUGCCCUAAUGUGAGAAUUGCAUGGUAGAUAGAUAGUUUUUACACCAUUGUAGAUCAGUUAUCCUAGCAUCUAGCACAACCCACAUAUCUGCAUACUCUCAAAAAUUGACUGAUCAGAGAGAGAGAGAGAGAGAGGUGAUAUCAAUUUUUUUCUUUGUGGUCUGUCUGCUCAAAAUCACCAUUAAUUCAAAGGAUAUUUUUUCUUCUUUCUUUUGUGUAUUUGUAAACUAGAGAUUUCAAGCUUUCCAAUGAUAUAUGGCAUGCAAUUAUGUAUUCUGCUAAAACCUAGACAAUGCUGGGUUAAAAGCUUGGUGUAAAAGUUUAGUUUGACAAAAGAAGUGAGGAUGAAGACUAAGACAAAUCAAAGACAACAUGAGCAAUGAAGGUUUGUGAUAUCUGCUGGUAGAAGUCUAAAGAUAGUAUCUUUGAAAACAUUGCAGAAACUGUCACUAUCAAAGACAACAUUGGAGCAAUAGAGGUUUUGUAUAUCUGCAGGUUUAGCUGUAAAGCUAUCGAGAGUAGAAGGGUAAUAAGGAAACCAUUAAGAGUUUACUUACUGUCAAAGCAUGGUCAUAUAGGUAUUACAUUUCUUUGCAAAGCAGUGUUACAAUGUUGAUUUUUUUUUUGUAACUUAAGCAGUUUCAGUUUUGAAUAAGGCAUAAAGGGAAAAAAUAUUAUAUUGGUAUAUUUGAUGCAUACACAGUAGGCCUGUCUUCAUCAGCUCAAGUUUGCCAAAUAACCCGCUAUUUUUAGACUGGGGAUAUUAUCCCGAAGCUCGAAACUGCAUCUUCACCAGACUGAAACGCUCAUGGCAAACUAGCUUGGACGGGCACAAAUUAGCCCGCUAUUUCCCAAGUAGCGUGAUAUAUUGGAAACAAGAUCAACAUUUCUUGGGAUAUAUUCUCAACCAAAUAACCCGCUAUUUGCAACUGCAGGCUGAUGAAGACGCAAAUGAACUUGUUGAUUUGCGAUCGGAAUAGUUAAAAUAGCUGGUUAUUUGGCAAACUCAAGCUGAUGAAGACAGGUCUAGUAACCUCAACUCCUUCCAAGAAUUUGUUAUGCGUUAGACUGUUGUCUGCAUGAAAGUGACGAUAAAGCUGAAGUUGUAAGUGUGAAAGAGUCCUCACUAUUUAACUUUCUGACAACAUUUGAUCCUGCCCAUGUCUAUUGUUUUCAGAGAUGCAUUUUAUUAGAACAAUGUAGUAAUGGAAGAAAAAUAUAAUUGUUGCCAAUGUGAAGGACAAUGUGUUAUCAAUUUAGCCCUAAAAAUAAAUCCUGUCCUGAAAGCAUUAAAGAUAACCAAGGAUCACGUACAGUAGUAAUUUUUCUAUUGAUAAAAAUGUUCGUAAUGCAAAGGUAAUAAAACUACUCUGUUAAAAGAAAAAGAAAUUGAAGAUGGACAUGUAUCCAGGCACUAUGUAAUGUUAUCACCUAUUGAAAGUACUUUUGAGUAACAUUGUUAGGAAAGUGUUUAAAACCACUUGGAAUCGUUUUGUUGUGUUUUUAAAAAGUAACUUUAAGUCUAUUUAUAAGCAUUAUAUUCUACUCUUACAAAACCACCAACUGGAAGGACGGAAUGACGUACAAGAUUAAUUACUACCCUCCUACUACACAAAAUAGCAGCAUUUUGUUUCAAUAUAAAAGCAUUAUUUCCUUUUAUAAAAAAAUGCUUUUAUUAAAGAUGUUUUUGAUAAUGUGCAUAUAAACCUAACAAUUUUUGUGUUUGAUUCAGUAUUACAUGGCAAUGUUUGCACCAUCUCUCCAUAUUUGUUACUCUAAUAUGGACCCAUUCUCUUGCCAAUCAAUACCCAAAUUAGUGGAUUAGAUAAUGGGGAUUAAUUUUUGAAAACAUUGGUGCUGGGUAGUUUUGAUGUUUUCAUUGGUGGAGUUUGCUCAGAUUAACUAUGCAGAAAGUAAAGAGCGGGACUACAUGGAUACCAAGGCUCCAGUAUCAGUAUAAUAAUCAUAAUUAUUUGUUGUUGUAAAUAUGGAAUAUACAAUUGUGCUAACUCUUCUGUUGCUUUACCAAAUUUUGUAAACUGCCAAAGCAAGUACCAUGCACUCAGAGUUAUGACAUUGAAUAAUGGAAGAUUUUAAUUUUGUUUUAAUUGUGGGAAUACAGGAAGGACUAAUAUGUCAUCUCAAAAUUUUCUUUCUUUCUUUUCUUAUCCCUUUUUUAAUGGUUUUUUGUUUGUUUGUUGAUUAUGUGUUAUUAAUUCUGUAUAAAUUGUAAAUUGAAUUAUUGUACUUGGUAUUUUUUCAUUGAAUAAUUAUGAUUUGAAUUUGAGGGGUUUUCUUUUUUUUUCUUCUCUCCCAAGUACUUAUGCAUUUAUGUGCACCAUUUAUGAAGAACAAGGAAAUUAGUAUGAAACAUUGAUUGUGUAGUAAUACAUGAUUGCAAUCUACAUGUACUCGCUCUGUUAGUGUCUACAUGUACACAUAUUUAAUUGUUAAUUCUUCGGAUAAUGUUAGAUUUUUUUCCUUCAUAACACGGACACACUAUAUGAUACAUGUGCAUGCGUGUAUAUGUUAUGUGAAAAAGGGGCAUUGUAUUGAGCAGGUUAAAGGGAGAGAUCAAAAUAAAUGGCUAUAAACAUUGCUUGAGCAGAAGAAUGUAUAUGAUGUUCUGAGUUUAGACAAUAACUAAAUCUUAUCUGUGAAUAUAUUUCUUGUUCAAUCUGUAUAUACAAUUUUUGCAAAAUUAUUGCCUGGUUCUGUGCCUCUUACUUUAGCUAUUAAGCAGGUAGGAUAUUCUGACAAAACUUGGAUGGAAAUACAUCCUUUUGCUUCUAAGCCAACUAUCUACUUUAUGAGUAUAUCUGGUGAGUGCCAGAAGGACUAAUGUUCAGCUGACUGUACAAAACUUAAGACCUUUAGUCUCGUUAUAAUCUAUAAUUCGAUGUUGAUAAUAUGAUGGAAGAAUAUCUCGAGUUAUACUUGUUUGUAUAUGUUAUUGAAAAGUGUGAAAUAUUAUGAUAUAUUGUGGAACAUGUUCUAUUUAUUUUAUUAUAUAUUUAUAUAUAUGUGUUGGUUGAUAAUUCCUCUUGCACUGUUGUUUCAAAUGUGGGCAUCACUCUUGAUGAAUGUAAGAGUAUGAUUAAUGUAUUUCAUUUGACAAUUGUAAGAUGGACCUGCAUUACAAGAUAUUCAUCUCCAAUCAUGUACAGUGUUGCUUGAUGUUAAUGCACAUGAAUGCAAAACCAUUUGUUUCACCAUGUAAUUUCUGAAGAAAGCAAAGUAGAAUAGGAGGUGUACAGAUUAUCUGUUACAGAUUAAGGAGGAAAAAAAAUAGUUGUUAUUGCGAUUUCUUUUGCAAAUGGUGUCAUCUCAGAAAUCAAAAUAAGAGACUGCAAUUUUCCUAACCUGAGAGAACUUAUUAGAAAUAGCUUUCCCCUUAAUCCCUCUGGUAGACCAGAUCAAGAGCUUGAUUCAACUGCUUUAUGACUUGGAAUAUAUCUUCACUCAAAAAGAUUUUCCAUAGGUGUAGAUUUGGUCGAAGGAAAUAGGAUGGCUCAGAUUCCUUGAUUAUCUUUAAUGCUGGCAAUUCUAUCAGCUAAAAUGUCAGCAUUAGCAUUUUAGAAUAAUCUUUUUAAGGUACCUUGAUGGCAUUUGAGUUAGUACCUGACCUGUACAAAGUGAUGCACUGCCCUUCGUUUUCAUUUGAGUACACUCAAUCUGUUUUUUGAAAUAUUUUAAAGCUUCAAUUCAUGACAGUAAGAUUUCUCAUGUCCACUGCCCCCCCCCCCCAAAAAAAAAAAAAAAAAUCUUCCAGCUAAGAUAGAUGUGUGUUUGUAAUAUUUGUUCAUUUUUUUGUUUUGAAUUGUUGGAAAGUAGCAUCGUUUUUUAAAAUCACGAUUUGGUCCUAAAUAUUUUGUUUUUGGUAUAUUUGUUUAUCUCCCGAAGUCAGCUCCAUUGGAUUAAUAUGCACACCAUUUAGAGACUGUAAGAGCAGUAUAAUCGAUGUACAUGUAGGUACUUAUCUCGAUAUUAAACAAAAAGGUGUCGGAUGAUCGAUGGACAAGAAAUCAUGUCAAUAUGAGAUAGAAAUGUGCUUUAUCAAUGUCUAACCUAUGUAACCUAUGUAACCUAUGUAUCAUUCACACAUUAACCCAGUAAACCACCCUCAUGGAAAAUGAAAGAAAGAAGAAAAUAAAAAGAUGGGGAAAAAAUGCCAAAGCAAAGUAAAAAAGUUGAACAACUCAAUUAUCUCUGGAUUAAAAUAGCAUCACCAACAUGAUGACUAUCUUUGUUGCCAAAGGAUCUACAACUCGACUUAAUCUAGGAUUUAAAUGUUUAUUUUUUAUUUUUUAUACUUUUGUGUAUUAAUUUUCUUUAACUCGUGUGGGCUUUUGGGAACAAUAUAUACCUAAUCUUAGCUAACUAAACUCAACAUGUACAAGGUGGAGUAGUGUAAGGAAUUGAAUGCCUUACAUUAUGACACACGUUCGAACCCAUAUUAUGUUUAUUUUAAUGUAUUAAUGUGCAUCAGUAUUAUUUCUUUUUGAAUGAACCAUGUAUGUGGUGCACCUGCAAUGCUUGAUUGUGGAUAUAGUACACCAUUUGUUAAAAACAAAGUGAUAAGAAAAUUUGUUAUCUGUGUCCUACGUUUUCUGAAGCAUGGUGGAAUAUUAAAAUGAUUAUCACCCAAGCAUUGGUUUCCUCGAUUAUUUGGUCUGAUUGUAAAUGCAAAGGAGAAAUUGGCAGUAUUAAUCUGUGAUCGUUCUAGAUCAUAGAAACGUAGAAGUAAUGUGUCAAGUAUUGGCAAGUGUAACUGCAUCACCAAAAAAUCUGCCAUGAAGAGCAUUACGACAGCUUACCAGGACACAUUUAAGUGAGCGAUUUGAAAAUGAUAGCAACGUUCACACUCACACAAUCUUCAAGGAGAUCAGAUGUGCGUUUUCCUCUGAUAUUGUUCCCCCAUUAAAUAUAUCAUUUGAAAUGUCACAUUGUUUGUAAGAUUAUGUUAUAAAAUUUUCCUUUACUUUUACAUUAUUUUAACUCAAUAUAUUUAGGGUGACAAUUACGCUAUCAAAUGGGUGUUUUAUCGAUCAUGUUAAACAAAACGCUGAUGAGACGAUUCACCACAACCAUGAUGUAUUGUUAAGAAUGAAAAUAGUCAUGAUGGUCAGUGUGCCAAUAUUGGAUUUCAAAUUGGCAAUAUAUUUGUGUGAGCAUUCGUUUUUUGGUGUAGUGAAUUGUUUUGAAUCCCUAACCCUUUAUUUGAGGAUGUGUAAAACAAUGUAAUAGUACAAGCCAAGAUUAAGUGUAAGGAUGAAACCAAAAAUAUGCCCCCUACCCAAAAGAGAAAGAAAGGAGAAUAAAGUAAAUGAAAUAUAUUAAAUCAUACAAAGGAAAAAGUUAUGAGAAUUUAAAAAUUGGCAAUGUGGUGAUGUGGAGGAUUGUUGGCUCUUGAGUUUAAUCAUGUACUUUUGCUGAUGGCUACAUGCACAAUCCUGUCACAUAUUAGAUGUAAUGGUUGUUAGUUGAAUUUGAACACAGAGGGAAAUGUACAUGUAGAUGUAUUAUGAACAGCAAUGAAAACUCAUGUUCAAUGUGUUUGAGCUGGUUUUAUUUUGUAUAUCAUGCUUGUAUUUAAUUGUUUUCUUUUGUACCAAAACAGAAAAAAAAAAGGCAUCAUUAUGGAAGUUGUAAUAAAUUAUGAAUUGGUCGAUCUAUGUGUAAAACUUACACUUGUUGAGGCAAAUAUUACACAACAUAAACUGUAGAUUUUUUCUAUGCAAAAAAA